UAAUGAGCACUGAUCAGAACUUUAAACACAUUUAAAAUUAUAUUGCGAACAUGAAUGCAAAGUUCUCCAAAUCACAUACAAGGUAAUGUUUUAUUUGUUUAAAUUAUUCAUUUUUUUCUUCUCUAUAUUUUCUACUCAUAUUUUUUGUAUGCUUAUGCAGUUUUUCCACAUUCUGCACUUGCCUUUUCCAAUUAUUACUACGGUAGUCUUGCGUAGCCUAAUCUUAGCUUCAGAUGUCAUGCAUAUGACACUUUCUGAUAACCUUUAAGCAAAUUUCAAAGUCGUCCUCUGAUUGGUUGAAUUAUACAGGAUUUCCAGGAGAUAUGUGCGUGUCGUGAUCUUUAACGGUCCGCCCGGACACCAUCCCUGCGGCACUUUAUAGUUGCAGUUAGAGUAAUGUAAAUCAGGGGUGUGCUUGCAUUGGUCCACUAGUUCUAGAUUAACAGCUCCACCUCUUCUAGCCAAUCAGUCGAAGGGGAGUUGACGUCACUCCAAUGCAACUCAUGGCUGCUGUGCUGUGCUCAUGAUGCUCCCAAAGAAAGAAAGUAUUCACCUUAUUUUCCACGACAACAAGGGCGGCGCCAUUGCGCUCAUAUUGUCAACGUACUUCCGGCUGCAUAUGAUGAGCAGCUGAGGCAGUGGCUUUUUAAACCUAAAAAGCUCACUUAAGCGCCUUUAUGUUUGUUUCUUACCAAUUUUAACGGACGGGGAGCCGACUGAGGAACACCCUAAUCCCAAGUAAUGGUUCGACUACGAUGUUCCGGUAACUUUAAACCACGCCGGGUGUUGAAAAGGUGGUCAGUUUCAGAUGCAUUGAUGUUUAGGGAUGCAAUGGACAACUGUGAGGAUGAUAUACAAUCAACAUGUUCCUAAACUGUGAUGCAGAAACACAAUGGGAGGAUCAAUCCGUCUCUGAACACAACUACACUUUAAAAUCACAACUCAACCUGAAGCAACCUACAUCUGAUAUGGGAAAACAACCUUGCGGUUUCCCGGACAGGGCUUAUGCUGGUCCCAGGCUAAAAUGCUUAUUUGAGCUAUGAUGAUAAUUAAAAAACACCAUGUACUGACAUACCUCAACAUAUAUGAGUGCCAUUGUUUUGUCACAAGAUGUGGUUUGUUUGUAAAAACUAAAAUGUCCUAAUAUAAUUAAGGCCUAGUCCUGUAAACUCUGUCCGAGAAACUGCUUCAAAGCUUCUGCUUCAUGUGUUGAGCUGGCACAAAUGUACAUAUCUCUGCUGAGAAACAACCAUCUUUGUCAGCUUUACACAGGGUUGAUAUUGCAUGCAUUACACAGUCGCUAAGCACAUCACCAGUACAUACAACAACAGCUUCCAGAUAAACACUUGGGAUCAGCUCCUGAUGACUCUGAUAAAGCUGCAUCUUAAUUCAUUGCAGGGUGGUCUUGCUGAAAAGUUAGUUGUUUCUUAGUCCAUAGUUAUUUUUUAUAAACCUUUACAAUUUGACCUGAUUUUACCUGUUGUAAAGUUACAUUUAAACCUUCAUAUGUGAUCAGAUGUCAUGCAGUGAUAUUAAACAUUUACAAUGUGA